rnacentral:rRNA from 1 species
AGAAUCAACGCUGGCGGCGUGCCUAACACAUGCAAGUCGCACGAGAAAGGGGAGCAAUCCCUGAGUAAAGUGGCGCACGGGUGAGUAACACGUGAAUGAUCUACCUCCGAGUGGGGAAUAACCAAAGAAAUUUGGCUAAUACCGCAUAACACUUACGAGUCAAAGCAGCAAUGCGCUUGGAGAGGAGUUCGCGGCAGAUUAGCUAGUUGGCGGGGUAAUGGCCCACCAAGGCGAUGAUCUGUA